AGUGAACGCUGGCGGUAGGCCUAACACAUGCAAGUCGAACGGCAGCACAGUAAGAGCUUGCUCUUACGGGUGGCGAGUGGCGGACGGGUGAGGAAUACAUCGGAAUCUACUUUUUCGUGGGGUAUAACGUAGGGAAACUUACGCUAAUACCGCAUACUACCUACGGGUGAAAGCAGGGGAUCUUCGGACCUUGCGCGAUUGAAUGAGCCGAUGUCGGAUUAGCUAGUUGGCGGGGUAAAGGCCCACCAAGGCGACGAUCCGUAGCUGGUCUGAGAGGAUGAUAAGCCACACUGGAACUGGGACACGGUCCAGACUCCUACGGGAGGCAGCAGUGGGGAAUAUUGGACAAUGGGCGCAAGCCUGAUCCAGCCAUACCGCGUGGGUGAAGAAGGCCUUCGGGUUGUAAAGCCCUUUUGUUGGGAAAGAAAAGCAGCAGGUUAAUACCCCGCUGUUCUGACGGUACCCAAAGAAUAAGCACCGGCUAACUUCGUG
rnacentral:rRNA from 1 species